rnacentral:lncRNA from 1 species
UUUUCAGGGUCAUGCAGUGUUCUGAGACACAGAAGGUGCGGUUUGGGACGCACAUGUUAGCGGAAGAGGCUGACGACUGGUGGGUGAGUUUGUUGCCUGUGCUGGAACAGGGUGAUACUGUGGUGACUUGGGCUAUGUUCAGGAAGGAGUUUCUGAGUAGGUACUUUCCGGAGGAUGUCAGAGGUAAGAAAGAAAUUGAGUUUCUGGAGCUGAAACAGGGUGAUAUGUCCGUUACGGAGUAUGCUGCUAGGUUUGUGGAACUUGCUAAGUUCUACCCUCACUAUAGUGUGGAGACAGCUGAGUUCUCCAAGUGUAUCAAAUUUGAGAAUGGGUUGAG